GACAGAGGUGCCAAGCGUUAGGCGGAAUCACUGGGCUUAAAGCGCGUGUAGGUGGCGGCCUAAGUACCUUGUGAAAUCCUGCGGCUCAACCGCAGAACUGCUUGGUAUACUGGGUCGCUUGAGCCAUCCAGGGGCAACUGGAACAAGCGGUGGAGCGGUGAAAUGCGUAGAUAUCGGGAGGAACACCUGUGGUGUAGACGGCUUUCUGGACCGUAGCUGACGCUGAGACACGAAAGCGUGGGUAGCAAACAGG
rnacentral:rRNA from 1 species